ACCGCCGCGGCCCAUCAGCGAAGAUCGCUGAGCGGCGCCCGCCUUGCGGGCCUCCAGGACCCGGCCGCCGCCAUCCGGUGGGAAGCCGGGUGGCCUGCGGGUGAGGGGGGCGAGGCGGACGGAGGGCACCACACCCCCCGGGGGGCGGGGCGGGCGGAGAGCACCCUACAUCCGGGAGCCGGGGCGGCGCCUGGAGAGCGGAGCAGGCAGCGCUUUCUGCCCGCUGAGUGGGUCAGGCGCCGCCCCCUUGUGGUCUCGGCCUGCGGGCAGCCCUUUGGAGCGCGCGGGAACCGGACGCCCGCCCGAGGAGAGAGGAUCCAGGAGACCACUCCGGGCGGGAUCCGCGGAGCCUGGGGCCGGGCGGUUGGCCCACAUUAUAAGAGGGCCUGCGUUGCUUCUACCUCAAAGGCUUUAGGGUGUUUGUUAAUUCCCCGCCCCCCAACCUGAUGAUGCUCCAGGUAUUUACAGGCAGGUGCCCCAUAGGCUGUUUACUGGGAAGCAGAAUUGGUGGACUCCGUUCGGGGAUAUGAGGAAAGAUCCAUAAGCAGAGAGAAUAAAGCCUUUGCACUUACAUUUUACUUCUCUUAUCCCUCACCUCUACCACCUUUCCCCUUGACCCCCAAUGGGCUGCAGGUCACAUCAUCUUGUCCUUGAUAUAUUCAGAAAAUAGAAGCCCCUCAAACAACUUAGAAGCAGUCCCCGCAUGUCACCAAAUAAUAGACCACAGCUGGCAUGUGAAUGCUACCAGUUAGAGAUGUGUAGUAGUUUGUAAUUUCCUCAUGAAUAGUUCAAACUAGAGAUUUCUAAAUUAUUACUAAAUUUUAGUAUUAAUCUAAAUAUUGUUAAUAGAUUUUUGUAUUAUUACUAAAUGCAUAAUCUUUGGAGCAGAAGUUGUGGGAAAAGAAGAUUUGGACAAAUACCUGACAAGUUACCCGGUAUUUUACUUUCUUUGAAGCAAUUAAAGAGGUCUGUGUCUUGUCUUGAAUAAUUAAUUUACUUAGGUUGCUGUUUAAAAUGCUUUUAAAUUUUCAAAACACAUCUGUGAGGAGAGGUCUCCACAUCUUCAGUUGAAAACUGGAAGAAGCAAAAGGAAUAGAGUGUUUAUCUUUGAAAAAAGCACACCUAACUAAAAUAAUAAUAAAAAAUAUGCAGGUGGAUAGAAACUCAACAGCUUUCUUCAUAGGGUUUGAAACCAUAACUGAAGGAAAGGCUAUCUGCCAUCUCCACUUUGUCUGCUUCUUCAGUCAUCUCUCAUUAUUCAACUUACCUUCUAGUCAGGUCAAAUUACAGUUUCUCCAGACUCAUAUUGCUUUCAUAUAUCUCUUUGUCUUUGUACAUAAUACUCCUUUACCUUCCUAAUGCUUAUUUUACCUUCGAAAUUCAGCCAAUGUAUCAACUCUCCUAGAAAGUUCCAUUAUCUUUCCUCCAAGUACAGGUCUUUCCACUGUACUACCAUCGAGUUCUGGGAUGCUUCUCCUUGGUGGCAUUUUUUAUACCGUGAUAUAAUUCUCUCUUUACUUAUUCCUGUAUCAAGUUGUUAGGGCAAUGCCUUUAUCUCAAUAUUCUGUAAAUGUAGCAUGGACGGAUUGAUGAUGGACAGACAGGUGGGCGAGGGAAUAGCUACAAGGAUGGACAUAUACGUGGGAGAAAAGGGACGGACAAAUGUAUAAAUAGAUGUUUUAAGGUUGGGUAGGUGAGUGGAUGGAACUAAAGCUUGGAGAGUAAAUCUUGAUGAAGACUUGUUGGGAAACAAGAAGAUCUUGAUAUGAUGAACUCAAGGAGGUUGAUGGAAAGGGGUGGGGGAUAGUUGAGGAUCGGUCAUUGAAACCAUUAUUUCUUUUGGAAAAAUAUUGAGAAAACAUGUACUAAAGUUAAUAAAUGCUACUUUGUGAGGAAAAGAUGAUAUUAGUUUGAUAUUCUUAGUAUUUAAAGUGUAAAGGACUAACAUUUCCCUCUCCUAUUUAGUCUCCAUUUCUUUCUUAAUCUCUAGUGUAAGCAUUAUUUAAAAGUUAUUUGUUAUAGUAAAUAUCUGGACAUUCUCAUCAGUGUGGUUAUUCUUAAAAGUUGUCGGCAGGGUGCUAUGGCUCACGCUUGUAAUCCCAGCACUUUGGGAGGCCGAGGCAGGUGGAUCACGAGGUCAGGAGAUCGAGACCAUCCUGGCCAACAUGGUGAAACCCCGUCUCUACUAAAAAUACAAAAAUUAGCUGGGCGUGGUGGCGUGCGCCUGUAGUCCCAGCUACUCAAGAGGCUGAGGCAGGAGAAUCGCUUGAACCCAGGAGGCGGAGGUUGCAGUGAGCCGAGAUCGCGCCACUGCACUCCAGCCUAGGUGACAGAAUGAAACUCCGUCUCAAAAAAAAAAAAAAAAAAAAAGUUGUCUAAAGUAUUUUAUUGUUGUUGCCUAAACUAAUUGACUUCUGUGCUUUUGGUCCUUGAAAACACUGUUUUAAUAGUUACACUUUUUUCUGUAAUAAUACUUUACAUGUGUUAAAAGAAAAACUUUAGACAAAUUAAAUUUACCAGUUUAUUUGAGCAAAGAAUGACUCAGGAAUCAUGCAUCACUGAGAACCAAAAGUUCAGAGUGCUGCACAGUGUGAGCAAUGGACUUUUAUAGGCCCAACACAGAAGCAGAGGAGAGGAAUCACCUGAUUGGUUGGGCAUGGUGGCUGAUGCCUGUAAUCCCAGCAACUCGAUAGACUUACUAGGGAGGAUUGCUUGAGCCCAGGAGUUUGAGGCUGCAGUGAGCUGUGAUCACACCACUGCACUCCAGCCUGGGCAACAAAGCAACCCUCCUGCCCCCACCCUGACCCCAUCUGCUGUACUUGUCAGUAAGCUUGCUUUGGGUUUAUGAGAUCCAAUAAAUAUGGAUUCAUAUCAAACUGUUUGUCUCACCUUAUUCAUCAGUUGACACCUAUCAAAGGCAUAUCCCGGGCACUGUUCUGAACAUGUGAGGACAAGAGAUUCAAAAUGCUAAAGGCUCACAAUAUCACAGCAAGAUGCUAUUGGGAAUUAGAGAGACCAGCAUGUUGCUAACAAGAAAACCUGCGUAUGUGAUUGCAGAAUUCUACAGGUGGUCUUAAAGAAGUUUUCUCAUGGGCCAUAUUCAUAUUCUGUGCUUUAUUCAGCUUCAUAUUUUUUCUCUAGCAAGGUAUCAUCAAGAGUUUGCAGGAGGACAUUGUUACUCUUGCUGAAAUUCUGUCAGCAGGACUAAGGUUACAUAUUAUCAUGCCCCUUCUGCUUCCAAUAACAAAUGACCUUAAAAAUAGCAUGGCCUGAGAUCUAUGCCAAGAAAAUAUCCACAUUAUAUUUGUAAUUCACACUGUUCUGAAGUUGAAUUUGUGAUUAUUAUAUUGAGACUAUAUUAAAAUACUUCCCUAGUUGUAUUUAUUAUGCUCAUGAGAUUUGGUGAUUUAUUAUUAAACCUCUUAGAGUUAAUUAUGUUUAUUGCCCCAGUCUUUUCUGAAGGAAACUUGGGAAUUGUCUUUCUUAUCCCUAAUUAGGAAAUUACAAAAUGCUCUUCUGAGCACAUGGGAAUUGUUUUCCCUUGCUCCAUGAGACUGACCCAC
rnacentral:lncRNA from 1 species